rnacentral:lncRNA from 1 species
CGCUCGCCCCGGGAGGGAGCCCGCGGCCAGGGCUGGACUCUCGCCCCGCCACCUCCACCGACUCUCUCCUCAGCCUCCGCGCCUGGCACCGCAGCAAGACUUGAAUGAAGUGAUCAUGUAAACUAGAGAAAGGAGAUUAAAAAUAACCUCUGGAUAUUCCUCUCAUGUGAUCUUUAUUCUGGAUGAAGCAUUAGGACAGCUAAUAGCCGUGUGUCACUGGGAUGGAUGAGGAAGACCCAGAGGAAAAUUCCAGAGGUGAUGGGUUCUGGAAGUAAAAAUUGAUAGGGAAGAUGAAGAAAUGCAUACAUAUUCAAGAUCUCGCUAAAGGGUAAGCUUUGGGUGAGAAACAAAUGAGAAAGCAAAGCCAUAGAUGGUUCUAUCAUUAAUGGUGAUAUAGAAAACCUUAGAAUCCAGUACAUAGAAGGUGGAGUUCAAGAGCUCCAUUUGAGCCUGUUAGGUUUGAAGGGAGUUCAAGAGCUCCAUUUGAGCCUGUUGGGUUUGAAAGAAUUAUUGGAUAUUUAAAUGAAGAAGUCAGGUAAGCACGCUAUUUUGGUCUAGUGCUGUGAGAGUGAUAUGACAGUAUGUGUCAUUAAGCGGUAUUUCAAUGUGGAAAACAUAACAGACAAGAGAACAGACCUCAGGACUGAAUGAACUCUGAGGCUCUCCAGCAAAGGCCCAGGAGGAGAAAAAGCAAAAACAGGAGCUGGGGUGGAAGGAAAAUUUGAAGAGCGCAGACAGUCUCUCAAAAAUUGCUUUAGUGUUUCAGGCAAGACGAAGUAGUCAAAUAUGUUGAGAAAUUGGAAAAAUGUUAAAAAUGCCCAUUGGAAUUGGCAAGAUGAAGUCCCAGGUAUCACUGACAGUGAUGGUGAAGAUGAGGAAGGAGAAGCCGUCAGUGUGUUGUUGAAGAAUGAAUCGAGGAAGGGGGUGUUUGUGUGGGUAUGUAUGUGUACUGGAGCAACAAACCUAGACAAUUUUUUAUUGAGAAAUUUUAAUACUGGAUGCAUCUGAGCACACUUUUAGGUGUGCUUGAAACCAUUCAGGAGGGAGGGGAAGCUUAGUGAUGCAGGGAAGAGGAGUAAAUGAAGGAGGAAGCUUCUCAAAAAAGCUAGAAGGAACUUCAGAGUGUAUGAAAAAUUUGAUUUUUUUUUUUUUUUUUUUUGAGAUGGAGC